rnacentral:misc_RNA from 1 species
AAAACGCGAUAUGUAUUGUGAAUUGCAAAAUUCGUGAAUCAUCAAACUUUUGAACGCAAGUGGCGCUCUUGGUGAACAGCUGAGAGCAUGCCUCUUUCAGUGUCGAGUCUACAAUCUAGUGAUCUCUCACUAGGAGCAUGAGAGUCUCUGCGGAGUCUCUUUAAGUACUAUGUUUCGCUUUUGAGUGUCUUUGCAUACAAGUGCAUUGGAUGGAGACAGUUUAUGUCAAUGUCGAUGUACGACCUUUGUUGGACGCGUCAAUGUAACAGCGAGACCUCUCGUUCCGCGCUCGACGUGGUACAACACCUACUUAUAGACCUGAGAGAGGUAAGAUUACCCGCUGAACUUAA